UUGUGGAGGAGGACGCCGAAGGUGGGGCUGAUGACUGGGGUGAAGUCGUAACAAGGUAUCCGUACCGGAAGGUGCGGCUGGAUCACCUCCUAACAGGGAGACAAAACUGAUUGUAAUGUCUGAGUUAAAUAUACUUAGGCUGCAAUCCUGUCACCUUAGGUCGAUCGGUACCUCAGAUUAACUUUAAAUAUCAAAUUUUUUGGUUUUUUAGAUUGAUUUCAGUUCCUAAACUUUGUCUAGGUCACACCCAACAAGGGUUUCUCCUGGGCCAUUAGCUCAGGUGGUUAGAGCGCACCCCUGAUAAGGGUGAGGUCCCUGGUUCAAGUCCAGGAUGGCCCAUUCGUCGUUGGGGGUAUAGCUCAGUUGGUAGAGCGCCUGCUUUGCAAGCAGGAUGUCAGCGGUUCGAGUCCGCUUACCUCCACUGAUUAACUUCCUGAUAUCCCUAAUUUAAUGGAGCAACUUUUUGUUGUGAUUUAGAUAUCGUCUAUAUGAAUUGAACCUAGCUUCCUGUCAUUCCUAUCCAAUUUUAAUUUGGCAUUAGGUUGAUAAGAUGCUGGGCUCUCUGGAAUAUUUUCCAGUGAUUUCAGUAGAACCUUGACAACUGCAUAGGUAAGUCUGGAAAGAAUAAAGCAUCUCAUGGAUGCAUAAUUUUUUCUUAUUUAAUUAUUAGUUCUAAAUUAUUUGAUCUUUUAGUUAUUAAGAAGGAAUUCAUGUUUAAUUCUUGAGUAAGAGUCAAUACCCAUCAAUAAUAUUUGGUGGUUUUUGUAAUUAAGGUCAAGCUACAA
rnacentral:misc_RNA from 1 species